rnacentral:rRNA from 1 species
CCCUUAGAUGUUCUGGGCCGCACGCGUGCUACACUGAGUGGAUCAGCGGGUCAGGUUGCGCGAAAGCGUUUCCUAAUCUUUAAAUCCGCUCGUGAUGGGGAUUGACGGUUGCAAUUUUCUGUCAUGAACGAGGAAUACCUUGUAAGCGCGGGUCAUCAUCCCGCGCUGAAUACGUCCCUGCCCUUUGUACACACCGCCCGUCGCUCCUACCGAUUGAAUGACUCGGUGAAAAAUUGGGACCGUGAGUCUGUUUGCUUCAUUGCGAGUGGAUUGAUGGGAACUUUUUUAAACCUCGCCAUUUAGAGGAAGGUGAAGUCGUAACA